UACAGAGGGUGCUAGCGUUAAUCGGAAUUACUGGGCGUAAAGCGCUCGUAGGCGGACAACCCAGUCAGGUGUGAAAUCCCUAGGCUUAACCUAGGAACUGCAUCUGAAACUAGUUGUCUUGAGUAUGGUAGAGGAAAGUGGAAUUUCCGGUGUAGCGGUGAAAUGCAUAGAUAUCGGAAGGAACAUCAGUGGCGAAGGCGACUUUCUGGACCAUAACUGACGCUGAGGGGCGAAAGCGUGGGUAGCAAAC
rnacentral:rRNA from 1 species